AAAACAACUAGCCGGAGAAGAAGGCCCUGGAUUGCUGUUGCUGGAGUGUUUACGGAAACAUGAUCUUCUCCCAUGUGACCAUUGGUGCUGCCACCGCCGCUGUGCCAGUUGGAGGUGCUGCUGCUGCAUCUGGUGGAGCUGCAGCUGCCGCCCCAAAGGGCAAACCUUCAUCAGACACAACCCCAUAACAGGGCCUCAAGAUGCUGGCAUUUCAUUCAGGACAAAUAAGUUGGAUGAAGCAUAGUUUUACCUCAUCGAGCU